CCUACGGGUGGCAGCAGUGGGGAAUAUUGGACAAUGGGCGAAAGCCUGAUCCAGCCAUGCCGCGUGUGUGAAGAAGGCCUUCGGGUUGUAAAGCACUUUCAGUGGGGAAGAAAGCCUUGGGGCUAAUACCCUCGAGGAAGGACAUCACCCACAGAAGAAGCACCGGCUAACUCCGUGCCAGCAGCCGCGGUAAUACGGAGGGUGCGAGCGUUAAUCGGAAUUACUGGGCGUAAAGCGCGCGUAGGCGGUCUGAUAAGCCGAUUGUGAAAGCCCCGGGCUCAACCUGGGAACGGCAUCCGGAACUGUCAGGCUAGAGUGCAGGAGAGGAAGGUAGAAUUCCCGGUGUAGCGGUGAAAUGCGUAGAGAUCGGGAGGAAUACCAGUGGCGAAGGCGGCCUUCUGGACUGACACUGACGCUGAGGUGCGAAAGCGUGGGUAGCAAACAGGAUUAGAUACCCCGGUAGUC
rnacentral:rRNA from 1 species